GGAGUGCUCGCAAGAGAACCGGAACACAGGUGCUGCAUGGCUGUCGUCAGCUCGUGUCGUGAGAUGUUGGGUUAAGUCCCGCAACGAGCGCAACCCUUGUCAUUAGUUGCUACGAAAGGGGCACUCUAAUGAGACUGCCGGUGACAAAACCGGAGGAAGGUGGGGAUGACGUCAAGUCCUCAUGGCCCUUAUGGUAGGGCUUCACACGUCAUACAAUGGUCGGGACAGAGGGUUGCCAACCCGCGAGGGGGAGCUAAUCCCAUAAACCCGAUCGUAGUCCGGAUUGCAGUCUGCAACUCGACUGCAUGAAGUCGGAAUCGCUAGUAAUCGCGGAUCAGCAUGUCGCGGUGAAUACGUUCCCGGGUCUU
rnacentral:rRNA from 1 species